rnacentral:rRNA from 1 species
CAUCCGCCGCGGUAAUACAGAGGGUGCAAGCGUUAAUCGGAAUUACUGGGCGUAAAGCGCGCGUAGGUGGUUUGUUAAGUUGGAUGUGAAAUCCCCGGGCUCAACCUGGGAACUGCAUCCAAAACUGGCAAGCUAGAGUAUGGUAGAGGGUGGUGGAAUUUCCUGUGUAGCGGUGAAAUGCGUAGAUAUAGGAAGGAACACCAGUGGCGAAGGCGACCACCUGGACUGAUACUGACACUGAGGUGCGAAAGCGUGGGGAGCAAACAGGAUUAGAGACCCCCGUAGUCCCUGUCUCUUAUAC